rnacentral:lncRNA from 1 species
GCUGCCUGUUGUCAGCAGCCUUGAGUACAUGCAUCUUGUCUCAUUUCUCCUGUCUCCUCAUUAGCACUAAGCCUCAUGACCUCAGCUGUCUGGACAAACCAAAAAACUGAACCAAGUCUGAACUAGGAAGCUGGCCCUCACCAAGCACCGCACCUGCCAGCACCUUGGACUUCCCAGCCUCCAGAACGGAAAGAAGACCAAGAUGUAAGCACACCUGAGCAGAUCCUUUUCCAAGUAUCCUGAUGUCUCCAAGGGCUGUUCAGAUUCCAAAGAGAACUAUCUACAAGUUAAUCUCUGUUACUGGAGUCAUUCAUUCUCCGUAGUAAUCUGCUCCACAGAAUUCCUCUUCUCUUCCCUCCCAUAACCUGUUUUACCAGGAUCCAAGCCUCCAUUCUUUCUGUAACCUCAUUGGGAAGUUGGUUCUUCAUUUGGAAGGCUCCCAUGUGUACAUGUUAAAUAAAUAUCUAUGCCUUUUCUUCUGUUAAUCAGUCUGCUUCAGUCAGUGAUUUUUAG